rnacentral:snoRNA from 1 species
CAGCAUGUUCCCAAGGUCGCUGGCUGCUUGUGGCCAAGGGAUCUGCAACUGCAUGCAAGAGCAACCUGGAGAGACUUGGACAGCCCAGGUCAGCAGAGGACCUGCUGCUGCCACUUGAUUUUGCUAUAAUG